GACAGAGGGUGCAAACGUUGUUCGGAAUUACUGGGCGUAAAGCGAGUGUAGGCGGUUCGGUAAGUCGGAUGUGAAAGCCCCGGGCUCAACCCGGGAAGUGCACUCGAUACUGCCGAGCUAGAGUAUCGGAGAGGUUGGUGGAAUUCUCGGUGUAGAGGUGAAAUUCGUAGAUAUCGAGAGGAACACCGGUGGCGAAGGCGGCCAACUGGACGAAUACUGACGCUGAGACUCGAAAGCGUGGGGAUCAAACAGG
rnacentral:rRNA from 1 species